rnacentral:rRNA from 1 species
CCCUUAGAUGUUCUGGGCAGCACGCGCGCUACAAUGGUCUUCGCAAACGGAUGCAUUCUCGAAGGAGAAUGCCAAUCUUGGAAUCUAUGCCUUGGUCGGGACAGUUGCUUGCAAUUUUUCGACUCGAACCAGGAAUUCCUUGUAAUCGUGAUUCAUCACAUCACGAUGAAUACGUCCCUGCCCUUUGUACACACCGCCCGUCGCUCCUACCGAUCGAAGAGUUAGGUGAAUUGUUUUGAUCGAUAAGAUUUGACAAUGGUCAACUCUCGUUGUGAAAUUCUGUGAAUCUGACUGUUUAGAGGAAGGAAAAGUCGUAACA